UACGGGGGGUGCGAGCGUUGUCCGGAAUCACUGGGCGUAAAGGGCGCGUAGGUGGUUUGAUAAGGGUGUGGUGAAAGUCCGGGGCUCAACCCCGGAUCUGCCGUGCCGACUGUCAAACUCGAGGGCUGUAGAGGCAGACGGAAUUCCGGGUGUAGCGGUGGAAUGCGUAGAGAUCCGGAGGAAGACCGGUGGCGAAGGCGGCAUCCUGGACCGGCAUUGACGCUGAAGCGCGAAAGCUAGGGGAGCAAACGGG
rnacentral:rRNA from 1 species